rnacentral:rRNA from 1 species
GACGAACGCUGGCGGCGUGCUUAACACAUGCAAGUCGAACGGAAAGGCCCUGCUUUUGUGGGGUGCUCAAGUGGCGAACAGGUGAGUAUCACGUGAGUAACCUGCCCUUUACUUUGGGAUAACUUCAGGAAACUGGGGCUCAUACCGGAUAGAAGCUCCUGCUGCAUAGUGGGGGUUGGAAAGAGUCGGCGGUUGGGGAUGGACUCGCGGCUUAUCAGCUUGUUGGUGGGGUAGUGGCUUACCAAGGCUUUGACGGGUAGCCGGCCUGAGAGGGUGACCGGCCACAUUGGGACUGAGAUACGACCCGGACUCCAACGGGGGGCAGCAGUGGGGAAUAUUGCACGAUGGGCGGAAGCCGGAUGCAGGAUCGCCGCGUGGGGGAUGACGGCCUGUGGGUUAUAAACCGCGUGCGCCUGUGAAGAAGAGUGAGUGACGGUAACGGGUCAGAAAGCAACGGCUAACUACGUG